UGGGUGUUGACUACAGCUUUCCAACUCUCC
rnacentral:piRNA from 1 species